CUCCCCUUAAAACAUGUAUAUUUAAUAUAAUUUUUAAAAUUAUUUCAAUCAGUCAACCUGUUUUAAUUGAAAGCUAAUUAACUAUCUUUUACAAUCAAAUACAAAAAACAUGAUACUUUUUCACCAAUUAAGUAAAUAAACAGGGGUUUCCCUCCAUGGUUAUUUUUAGUCAGGGAAUAACCCCUAGUUUUUUAUACGAAACUGUUUAUAGCAC
rnacentral:lncRNA from 1 species